GACGAAGGUGGCGAGCGUUGCUCGGAAUCACUGGGCUUAAAGCGAGUGCAGGCGGUCCGGUAAGUCGGGUGUGAAAUCCCUCUGCUCAACGGAGGAACGGCACCCGAUACUGCCGGGCUUGAGGGGUUCAAGGGCGACUGGAACUCUUGGUGGAGCGGUGAAAUGCGUAGAUAUCAAGAGGAACGCCGAUGGUGAAGACAGGUCGCUGGGAACCUCCUGACGCUGAGACUCGAAAGCUAGGGGAG
rnacentral:rRNA from 1 species